rnacentral:tRNA from 2 species
UGGCCGGAGUUCUGGCAGUUGCAGGGCAACUUCUGGGUGGAGUGGCUGCGCCGGCAGGCGUGGCAGCCGCUGUUCGUGGCGGCGCUGGCCGCC